rnacentral:lncRNA from 1 species
AAUAACUGGCUACAUGCUUAAUAUGGAAUAUUAUUCACAUAUUAAGCAUAUUGAGUUGAUCUACAUCCACUGAACUGUAGGGAUGUCCAUGCUAUAAAGAAAGGACAGAAAUUCACAGGUGUAGAUCCCAGGCAGCAGAGACACAAAGGACAGCAGGGAGACUAGUACCUUUCCAUUUGGACUGUGACUACACACAGG